rnacentral:rRNA from 1 species
GUGGGGAAUAUUGGACAAUGGGCGCAAGCCUGAUCCAGCCAUGCCGCGUGAGUGAUGAAGGCCCUAGGGUUGUAAAGCUCUUUCACCGGUGAAGAUAAUGACGGUAACCGGAGAAGAAGCCCCGGCUAACUUCGUGCCAGCAGCCGCGGUAAUACGAAGGGGGCUAGCGUUGUUCGGAAUUACUGGGCGUAAAGCGCACGUAGGCGGACAUUUAAGUCAGGGGUGAAAUCCCAGAGCUCAACUCUGGAACUGCCUUUGAUACUGGGUGUCUUGAGUAUGGAAGAGGUAAGUGGAAUUCCGAGUGUAGAGGUGAAAUUCGUAGAUAUUCGGAGGAACACCAGUGGCGAAGGCGGCUUACUGGUCCAUUACUGACGCUGAGGUGCGAAAGCGUGGGGAGCAAACAGGAUUAGAAACCCCGGUAGUCC